AUUGAACGCUGGCGGCAGGCCUAACACAUGCAAGUCGAGCGAGCGGCGGCCGGGUGAGUACUGUAUGGGGACUGCCCGAUAGAGGGGGAUAACUACUGGACACGGUCGCUAAUACCGCAUACUAUCGGAUCACCCAUAUGGGCUUAGCUAGUAGGUAAGGUAAUGGCUCACCUAGGCGACGAUCCAUAGCUGGUCUGAGAGAAGGAUCAGCAACACUGGGACUGAGACACGGCCCAAACUCCUACGGAGGCAGCAGUGGGGAAUAUUGCACAAUGGGCGAAAGUCUGAUGCAGCCAUGCCGCGUGUAUGAAGAAGGCCUUAGGGUUGUAAAGUACUGUCAGUCGUGAGGCGUUACCGACAGAAGAAGCAACGGCUAACUCCGUGCCAGCAGCCGCGGUAAUUC
rnacentral:rRNA from 1 species